GCUCCCGUGGUGUAGUCCGGUCAAGCAUUUCGGCCUUUCGAGCCGGGGAACCCGGGUUCAAAUCCCGGCGGGAGCA
rfam:Candidatus Bathyarchaeota archaeon RBG_13_60_20 RBG_13_scaffold_211, whole genome shotgun sequence.